UACGAAGGGUGCAAGCGUUACUCGGAAUUACUGGGCGUAAAGCGUGCGUAGGUGGUUUGUUAAGUCUGAUGUGAAAGCCCUGGGCUCAACCUGGGAAUUGCAUUGGAUACUGUCAGGCUAGAGUGCGGUAGAGGGUAGUGGAAUUCCCGGUGUAGCAGUGAAAUGCGUAGAGAUCGGGAGGAACACCAGUGGCGAAGGCGACUACCUGGACCAGCACUGACACUGAGGCACGAA
rnacentral:rRNA from 1 species